GAUGAACGCUGGCGGCGUGCUUAACACAUGCAAGUCGAACGGAAAGGCCACAGCUUGCUGUGGUACUCGAGUGGCGAACGGGUGAGUAACACGUGGGUGAUCUGCCCUGUACUUCGGGAUAAGCUUGGGAAACUGGGUCUAAUACCGGAUAGGAAUCACAUUUGGGUGUGUGGUUGGAAAGCUUUUGCGGUAUGGGAUGAGCUCGCGGCCUAUCAGCUUGUUGGUGGGGUAAUGGCCUACCAAGGCGUCGACGGGUAGCCGGCCUGAGAGGGUGUACGGCCACAUUGGGACUGAGAUACGGCCCAGACUCCUACGGGAGGCAGCAGUGGGGAAUAUUGCACAAUGGGCGCAAGCCUGAUGCAGCGACGCCGCGUGGGGGAUGACGGCCUUCGGGUUGUAAACUCCUUUCGUCAGGGACGAAGCGAAAGUGACGGUACCUGGAUAAGAAGCACCGGCUAACUACGUG
rnacentral:rRNA from 1 species